GAUGAACGCUGGCGGCGUGCCUAAUACAUGCAAGUCGAGCGAACAGACGAGGAGCUUGCUCCUCUAACGUUAGCGGCGGACGGGUGAGUAACACGUGGAUAACCUACCUAUAAGACUGGGAUAACUUCGGGAAACCGGAGCUAAUACCGGAUAAUAUAUUGAACCGCAUGGUUCAAUAGUGAAAGACGGUUUUGCUGUCACUUAUAGAUGGAUCCGCGCCGCAUUAGCUAGUUGGUAAGGUAACAGCUUACCAAGGCAACGAUGCGUAGCCGACCUGAGGGGGGGUUCGGCCACACUGGAACUGAGACACGGUCCAGGCUCCUACGGGAGGCAGCAGUAGGGAAUCUUCCGAAAUGGGCGAAAGCCUGACGGAGCAACGCCGCGUGAGUGAUGAAGGGCUGCGGAUCGUAAAACUCUGUUAUUAGGGAAGAACAAAUGUGUAAGUAACUAAGCACGUCUUGACGGUACCGAAGCAGAAAGCCACGGCUAACUACGU
rnacentral:rRNA from 1 species